rnacentral:tmRNA from 1 species
GGGGACGUUCUUGGAUUCGACAGGGGUCCCCCGAGCUUAUUAAGCGUGUCGGAGGGUUGGCUCCGUCAUCAACACAUUUCGGUUAAAUAUAACUGACAAAUCAAACAAUAAUUUCGCAGUAGCUGCGUAGUAAUAGCCACUGCAUCGCCUAACAGCAUCUCCUACGUGCUGUUAACGCGAUUCAACCCUAGUAGGAUAUGCUAAACACUGCCGCUUGAAGUCUGUUUAGAUGAAAUAUAAUCAAGCUAGUAUCAUGUUGGUUGUUUAUUGCUUAGCAUGAUGCGAAAAUUAUCAAUAAACUACACACGUAGAAAGAUUUGUAUCAGGACCUCUGGACGCGGGUUCGAAUCCCGCCGUCUCCAUUA